AGUGAACGCUGGCGGUAGGCCUAACACAUGCAAGUCGAACGGCAGCACAGUAAGAGCUUGCUCUUACGGGUGGCGAGUGGCGGACGGGUGAGGAAUACAUCGGAAUCUACUUUUUCGUGGGGGAUAACGUAGGGAAACUUGCGCUAAUACCGCAUACGACCUACGGGUGAAAGCAGGGGAUCUUCGGACCUUGCGCGAUUGAAUGAGCCGAUGUCGGACUAGCUAGUUGGCGGGGUAAAGGCCCACCAAGGCGACGAUCCGUAGCUGGUCUGAGAGGAUGAUCAGCCACACUGGAACUGAGACACGGUCCAGACUCCUACGGGAGGCAGCAGUGGGGAAUAUUGGACAAUGGGCGCAAGCCUGAUCCAGCCAUACCGCGUGGGUGAAGAAGGCCUUCGGGUUGUAAAGCCCUUUUGUUGGGAAAGAAAAGCAGCAGGUUAAUACCCCGCUGUUCUGACGGUACCCAAAGAAUAAGCACCGGCUAACUUCGU
rnacentral:rRNA from 1 species